UACGGGGGGGGUAAGCGUUGUUCGGAAUUACUGGGCGUAAAGGGCUCGUAGGCGGCCAACUAAGUCAGACGUGAAAUCCCUCGGCUUAACCGGGGAACUGCGUCUGAUACUGGAUGGCUAGAGGUUGGGAGAGGGAUGCGGAAUUCCAGGUGUAGCGGUGAAAUGCGUAGAUAUCGGGAGGAACACCAGUAGCGAAGGCGGCUCGCUGGGCCGUUCCUGACGCUGAGACGCGAAAGCUAGGGGAGCGAACAGG
rnacentral:rRNA from 1 species